rnacentral:tRNA from 1 species
GCAUCCGUAGCUCAGCUGGAUAGAGUACUCGGCUACGAACCGAGCGGUCGGAGGUUCGACUGGAUAGAGUACUCGGCUACG